rnacentral:rRNA from 2 species
CAGUCGAACGCGUUGGCCAAUUGAUUGAUGGUGCUUGCACCUGAUUGAUUUUGGUCGCCAACGAGUGGCGGACGGGUGAGUAACACGUAGGUAACCUGCCCAGAAGCGGGGGACAACAUUUGGAAACAGAUGCUAAUACCGCAUAACAGCGUUGUUCGCAUGAACAACGCUUAAAAGAUGGCUUCUCGCUAUCACUUCUGGAUGGACCUGCGGUGCAUUAGCUUGUUGGUGGGGUAACGGCCUACCAAGGCGAUGAUGCAUAGCCGAGUUGAGAGACUGAUCGGCCACAAUGGGACUGAGACACGGCCCAUACUCCUACGGGAGGCAGCAGUAGGGAAUCUUCCACAAUGGGCGCAAGCCUGAUGGAGCAACACCGCGUGAGUGAAGAAGGGUUUCGGCUCGUAAAGCUCUGUUGUUAAAGAAGAACACGUAUGAGAGUAACUGUUCAUACGUUGACGGUAUUUAACCAGAAAGUCACGGCUAACUACGUGCCAGCAGCCGCGGUAAUACGUAGGUGGCAAGCGUUAUCCGGAUUUAUUGGGCGUAAAGAGAGUGCAGGCGGUUUUCUAAGUCUGAUGUGAAAGCCUUCGGCUUAACCGGAGAAGUGCAUCGGAAACUGGAUAACUUGAGUGCAGAAGAGGGUAGUGGAACUCCAUGUGUAGCGGUGGAAUGCGUAGAUAUAUGGAAGAACACCAGUGGCGAAGGCGGCUACCUGGUCUGCAACUGACGCUGAGACUCGAAAGCAUGGGUAGCGAACAGGAUUAGAUACCCUGGUAGUCCAUGCCGUAAACGAUGAGUGCUAGGUGUUGGAGGGUUUCCGCCCUUCAGUGCCGGAGCUAACGCAUUAAGCACUCCGCCUGGGGAGUACGACCGCAAGGUUGAAACUCAAAGGAAUUGACGGGGGCCCGCACAAGCGGUGGAGCAUGUGGUUUAAUUCGAAGCUACGCGAAGAACCUUACCAGGUCUUGACAUCUUGCGCCAACCCUAGAGAUAGGGCGUUUCCUUCGGGAACGCAAUGACAGGUGGUGCAUGGUCGUCGUCAGCUCGUGUCGUGAGAUGUUGGGUUAAGUCCCGCAACGAGCGCAACCCUUGUUACUAGUUGCCAGCAUUAAGUUGGGCACUCUAGUGAGACUGCCGGUGACAAACCGGAGGAAGGUGGGGACGACGUCAGAUCAUCAUGCCCCUUAUGACCUGGGCUACACACGUGCUACAAUGGACGGUACAACGAGUCGCGAACUCGCGAGGGCAAGCAAAUCUCUUAAAACCGUUCUCAGUUCGGACUGCAGGCUGCAACUCGCCUGCACGAAGUCGGAAUCGCUAGUAAUCGCGGAUCAGCAUGCCGCGGUGAAUACGUUCCCGGGCCUUGUACACACCGCCCGUCACACCAUGAGAGUUUGUAACACCCAAAGUCGGUGGG